UAGCUACUUGCUGUGGGCACUAAGUUGGAGCAUGUAAUUAUCCAGUUGGCCCAUGAGGUUGGCGAGAAACAUGUAGCAAUUGCAGGUGAUUUGGUAGUUCAACCUUCAGACAAUCAUUUCUGGUUCCAUAGGCCCCGGAUUGUUCUCUUGCUGAUUCAUUUCAUCCUGUUUCAGAAUUCAUUUGAACUAGCAUUCUUCUUUUGGAUAUGGGUUAAAUAUGGAUUUGACUCAUGCAUAAUGGGAGAAAUCGGUUAUAUCAUUCCAAGACUUGUUAUAGGGGCAUUAAUUCAGUUCGUCUGCAGUUAUAGUACCCUACCACUGUAUGUAAUUGUCACACAGGUGAGUUGGAUCAUCACUAAGAAUUCACCUUCUUUAUGAUCAAUUCAUAUAUGUUGGGGUUUUAGGCUGAUGAAGAUUGCUGAAUUCCUUGAAAUGUUGAUGGGAAGUUCAUAUAAAAAGGCUAUAUUUGAAGAACACAUACAUGAAGGACUUACCUGUCGGUUGGGCUUGAAUGGCCAAAAAGAACCAAGGGUUUGAGAAAGGCAGCUAAUGGCUCAACGACUACUACUACUACUACUCCGGCUUCUUCUACUAAUGCAUCUAGCCAAAUGAAUCCAAAAGAAACUACUCAUAUGGCAAUUCAGAAGAGUGAAGUAUCUGCAAUGGAAGAAGGCAACGCAGGAGAGAUUGCAGCUGCAACUCUGAACGAUGGACAGCUGAGGGCAACAUAGUCUCACUCAAAACUCUUGGUAGUUAGCCAGUCUUUUUUGCUAGUUGCAGUUAAGGUGAAGUUAGAAAUAUCUGUGUUUUGAUAUAUGCUACAUAUUUAUUAAAAUUGUUCGAAUGCAUACUACAUGGUUGGUUUAUUGAUUUUAUUUCUUGCAUAGUAAUGAUGACGAUGAGGUGUAAAAUGAUGAUAUAAUU